AAACGAUUGAAGUCAGUCGUGGCUCGGGGGUUCAGCCGGUCCUGCCGGUCCACUCCCCCUUGCCGGGUCAACAUCGGUUUGGACCGACGGAUAAGGGAGUCGGGAAAGUGGCACCUCCGGGUGUGUUAUAGCCCGGUUUCGCAUACGUCGGUCCAGACCGAGGAACGCAGCUCGCCUUCAUGGCCGGGGUUCGCCCACGUCCGAGCUUAGGAUGUUGACAUAAUGGCUUUAAACGA
rnacentral:rRNA from 1 species